UACGUAGGUGGCGAGCGUUGUCCGGAAUUACUGGGCGUAAAGAGCGCGCAGGCGGCUGGUCAAGUCCGAUGUGAAAGCUCCCGGCUUAACUGGGAAAUUGCAUCGGAAACUGAUCGGCUGGAAGGUGGGAGAGGGUAGCGGAAUUCCCGGUGUAGUGGUGAAAUGCGUAGAUAUCGGGAGGAACACCAGUGGCGAAAGCGGCUACCUGGCCCAUUCUUGACGCUGAGGCGCGAAAGCUAGGGGAGCAAACGGG
rnacentral:rRNA from 1 species